UACGGGGGGGGCAAGCGUUGUUCGGAAUUACUGGGCGUAAAGGGCUCGUAGGCGGCCAACUAAGUCGGACGUGAAAUCCCCAGGCUCAACCUGGGAACUGCGUCCGAUACUGGAUGGCUUGAAUCCGGGAGAGGGAUGCAGAAUUCCAGGUGUAGCGGUGAAAUGCGUAGAUAUCUGGAGGAAUACCGGUGGCGAAGGCGGCAUCCUGGACCGGCAUUGACGCUGAACAGCGAAAGCUAGGGGAGCAAACGGG
rnacentral:rRNA from 1 species